UCCCCUAGUAACUGCGAGUGAAGCGGGAAAAGCUCAAAUUUAAAAUCUGGCGGUCUUUGGCCGUCCGAGUUGUAGUCUGGAGAAGUGCUUUCCGCGCUGGACCGUGUACAAGUCUCUUGGAACAGAGCGUCAUAGAGGGUGAGAAUCCCGUCUUUGACACGGACUACCAGUGCUUUGUGAUGCGCUCUCAAAGAGUCGAGUUGUUUGGGAAUGCAGCUCUAAAUGGGUGGUAAAUUCCAUCUAAAGCUAAAUAUUGGCGAGAGACCGAUAGCGAACAAGUACCGUGAGGGAAAGAUGAAAAGCACUUUGGAAAGAGAGUUAAACAGUACGUGAAAUUGCUGAAAGGGAAACGCUUGAAGUCAGUCGCGUUGGCCGGGACUCAGCCUUGCUUUUUGCUUGGUGCAUUUUCCGGUCGACGGGCCAGCAUCGAUUUUGACCGUCGGAAAAGGGCUAGGGAAAUGUGGCACCUUCGGGUGUGUUAUAGUCUCUAGUCGCAUGCGGCGGUUGGGAUCGAGGAACGCAGCGCGCCGCAAGGCAGGGGUUCGCCCACUUUCGCGCUUAGGAUGCUGGCAUAAUGGCUUUAAACGACCCGUCUUGAAACACGGACCAAGGAGUCUAACUUACCUGCGAGUGUUUGGGUGGAAAACCCGAGCGCGUAAUGAAAGUGAAAGUUGAGACCUCUGUCGUGGAGGGCAUCGACGCCCGGACCUGACGUUCUCUGACGGAUCCGCGGUAGAGCAUGUAUGUUGGGACCCGAAAGAUGGUGAACUAUGCCUGAAUAGGGUGAAGCCAGAGGAAACUCUGGUGGAGGCUCGUAGCGAUUCUGACGUGCAAAUCGAUCGUCAAAUUUGGG
rnacentral:rRNA from 1 species